UACGUAGGGUGCAAGCGUUGUCCGGAAUUAUUGGGCGUAAAGAGCUCGUAGGCGGUUCGUCGCGUCGGCUGUGAAAACCCGGAGCUCAACUCCGGGCCUGCAGUCGAUACGGGCGGACUCGAGUUCGGCAGGGGAGACUGGAAUUCCUGGUGUAGCGGUGAAAUGCGCAGAUAUCGUAAGGAAGACCAGUGGCGAAGGCGAGUUCCUGGACAGUUGCUGACACUGAGGCACGAAGGCUAGGGGAGCAAACGGG
rnacentral:rRNA from 1 species